rnacentral:pre_miRNA from 1 species
CAAGUACUCCCUCCGUCCGGAAUUACUUGUCAUCAAAAUGGAUGUGUCUAGAACUAAAAUACAUCUAGAUACAUUCAUUUCAAUGACAAGUAUUUUCAGAAGGAGGGAGUACAAG